UUCCUCAGAUUUGUUGUGCUUUCACUGGACUUCUGAAUGCCAGCGCCUGAACUCAGUGGUCACCCGGCUAGAAGGGCACCGUCAAAUGAUGCGUUGUCUGAGGCCAUCAUCGUUGACAGCGACAACAAAUCAACAUCCCUCCUCAUCAUCCCCACAAGGAAAUUCGGCUGAGGAAACACCGAGGUCGAGCACACAGCCUUCUCCCACCAUCAACCUCACUCGAGAAUACACCCUUGCUGUACAGACCAGUUCCUACAGCGAGAUACGGGAUAAGAUUCAUCAGAGCAACGCUUGUUACCAUGACCCAGAUCCAGGACAAGAAGAGUGCAAUGAAGGACACCAGCUGUUGGCACAGGUCCUGCAGCCAAACCGAGAUUGUGUCCAAGAGUCACUUCAGUCUAUUCGGCCCAACACCCUUACCCGCCUUGUCUCUGCCUAUUUUGAUCAUAGUGAACACACUUCCCAUCUGUGCCUCCUCCUCUAUGACAGUGUCCGCCAUGCUCGGUCCCUCUAUGCUCCUCUCCACAAUCUCCUCAAUGUCCUUCCCCUAGACUCUGACUCCUACACCCUCACCCAGUCCCAGUGCGACUGUGCCUUUGACAUUUUCCUCCAAUUCGACCGCCUUGACAACCCCUUCUCUUGCUCUGACUCCUUCAACUUCAAUGACAUGCGCUGUUGUUUCUCCCAGCUUAAGCAACAACUCGACCACCGUCUCAGUAAGUCACGCUCCAGGGUUCGUCUCCUUCGCCACGCCACCACUAGCUCCGCCAUUUGUCUCAUUGGCACUGUCGUAGGUGUUGCCAUAUCUGCUGCAGUCAUAGCUGCCCAUGCACUUGUCACCCUUGUGGCUUGCCCCUUUUUUAGUUCAUUCCUUCCAUGCAAGAUAACUAAGAAAGAGAUGGCCCAUCUGGCACAGCUUGAAGCUGCAGCAAAGGGUACUUAUGUCCUGCACAAUGACCUCGACACCAUUGAUCGCCUUGUGGUCCGUUUGUAUACAGCUGUUGAGGGUGACAAGCUUCUCAUUCGCCUUGGAUUGGAGAGGGGCAGGGACAGACAGCCCAUUCAGGAAGUGGUGAAGCAACUCCACAAGAACCAUGAGAAUUUCCUCCGCCAGCUCAUUGAUCUUGAGGAACACAUAUGCCUCUGCUUUGCCGCAAUCAACAGAGCUAGAUCUCUCCUCCUCCAAGAGAUCCAUCUGCAUCAAACUCGUUAUUCCUGACCAAUUUACUUGCAUAAUCCAGUGAGAGUUUUAUUUGCAUUCAUUACACAAGCAAUAAAACUAUUUUUACCAACCUUGACAAAGAACAAGGGUCUCAUCAUGUUAUUUUCAUCAUUGGAGCAAACGUUACUUGUUACUACCUGUUACAUGAUGUCAUGAGACGUCAUGCAAGACAACAAUGUCUCAUUUUUAGCAUGCAAAAGGAUUCUUCUGUAGCAAGUUAUGCUAUAUGAACUUAAGUUCGUUGCCUUUAUCUAGAUUGGCAUGGAGUUCAGUUGUUUGUGAUAUUCAAGAGGGUGGCUUAGGCCUUAAGAAUGUCUCUUUGGAAUAAAUCUGUCAGCUUCUUCUUCCUUUUGGGUGCAAUGGGUCCAUCAUAUUAUUCUUAAAGAUAGGAGCCUAUGGGAUGUUAAAAUUCCUCCUAAUUGCUCAUGGUUUUGGAGGAAGUUGUUGUAGCUAACAGAGCCAUUUAGGUUAUGUAUAAAACAUACAGUGGGUAAUGGUCAGAAUACAUUUUAUUGGUUUGAUAAUUGGUUGCAAUAUGGACCAAUUUAUUCUCAGGAAUGCAUCUCUUUUCUUUGAUAAUUGGUUGCAAUUUGGACCAGUUGUAGGAUCAUUUAUGAUUCUGGUUUACCCUGGGAUGGGGUUGUUAAAAAUGACUUUAAAAAGUUAGAACAUAAAUGGCAUAUAAUAAAAAAGGUUGGAGAGAGAAAAUUCAUGUGGCUGACUCCGCUCAUAUGGGAUUAAGGCGAUGAUGAUGAUUCUGGAUUUUGCCCAUGACAGCCAAGGUUGCAGAUAAUAUUUCCAACAAUUUUUUGUCUUUAACUUCCUUCAACCAAAUAUCACACUUCACAUCUUUGCUAGCUGAUUUACUGUUCCAUGAUCCCAUCUUCUCUUUGCAUACUGGCUCUUUCAUCUACUGUUUAUCAAAUUAUAGGUUAUUUUCUAAAACUACAAGAGAAACUCGGAUUGUUAACAGAGUAAUUGAAGACUCUUAUCAGAUUUAGGCAUUCAAGCUCGGAAGGGGUUACUGAAAGCUCAGUAAGUAAAUAGACGUACUAAACAGAACUGGAUUCUUCCUGAUGAUCCUAGAAACUUCUGCCUACACAUAUGCUAGCCUGGUUAUGCUUUGCUUUUGUCAUGUUUUAUGGUGGCAUAAGGUUAAUUCUACUAGAAUGAAUGUUUAUGGCUUUCAGAUGCCCCAUUUAUAUGUAUUACUGGUGCAGACCUUGUAGUUUCUCUGUAUUGCUUUUGUUAGCUGGUUUCUUGGUUGGCUUAUCAGAUUCUUCAUUAGCCCUCUAAAUUGCUUUCUUUUUUUCUUUUUUGGCUACAUGCAUUACUUUGUAUUCUAUUCGGCAUUCUUUUUUCUUUGCGCCUUUUAGUUGUGU